AAGGCAAAUCAGUCUAUCGCUUUGCAUUUAUUGUAAAGAGGAAAGUCUGGGCAGCAAAGAGUACUGUGCUUCUUAACGGGAAGGCGUGUCUUCGGAUAUGACAGAAAGUGCCGCAGAAAGGUAAACUACCAGAACUUACGUUUUGGAAAAGGUGAAAAGGUGAGGUAAGAGCUCACCGGGUUGUUGCUGACAAUAACCGCAUGGUAAACCUCACAGGCUGAAAGAUUAUGUAAACCUAGGUUUGAGAAUUACUCGUUCGACUAGGAGGGUAAAUUGAUGGAUUUCGUGAGUGAUUGCGGAACUAGAUAAAUGAUAGACUAUGCAACUAGUGUGCAGAUACAGGACCCGGCUUAAGAUUUGCCUUUCUU
rnacentral:RNase_P_RNA from 1 species